GAUGAAGAACGCAGCGAAAUGCGAUAAGUAAUGUGAAUUGCAGAAUUCAGUGAAUCAUCGAAUCUUUGAACGCACAUUGCGCCCCUUGGUAUUCCAUGGGGCAUGCCUGUUCGAGCGUCAUCUACACCCUCAAGCUCUGCUUGGUGUUGGGCGUCUGUCCCGCCUCUGCGCGCGGACUCGCCCCAAAUUCAUUGGCAGCGGUCCUUGCCUCCUCUCGCGCAGCACAUUGCGCUUCUCGAGGUGCGCGGCCCGCGUCCACGAAGCAACAUUACCGUCUUUGACCUCGGAUCAGGUAGGGAUACCCGCUGAACUUAAGCAUAUCAAUAAGCGGAGGA
rnacentral:misc_RNA from 1 species